rnacentral:rRNA from 1 species
CACGCUGUAAACGAUGUCGAUUUGAGUUUGGGGCAUGACCUUGGGCUCCGGAGCUAACGCGUUAAAUCGACCGCUGGGAGUACGGCCGCAAGGUUAAAACUCAAAUGAAUUGACGGGGGCCCGCACAAGCGGUGGAGCAUGUGGUUUAAUUCGAUGCAACGCGAAGAACCUUACCUGGUCUUGACAUCCAUAGAAUCUUUCAGAGAUGAGGGAGUGCCUUCGGGAGCUAUGAGACAGGUGCUGCAUGGCUGUCGUCAGCUCGUGUUGUGAAAUGUUGGGUUAAGUCCCGCAACGAGCGCAACCCCUAUCCUUUGUUGCCAGCACGUAAUGGUGGGAACUCAAAGGAGACUGCCGUUGAUAAAGCGGAGGAAGGUGGGGACGACGUCAAGUCAUCAUGGCCCUUACGACCAGGGCUACACACGUGCUACAAUGGCGUAUACAAAGGGAUGCGAAGGUGCGAACUGGAGCGGACCUCACAAAGUACGUCUAAGUCCGGAUUGGAGUCUGCAACUCGACUCCAUGAAGUCGGAAUCGCUAGUAAUCGUGAAUCAGAAUGUCACGGUGAAUACGUUCCCGGGCCUUGUACACACCGCCCGUCACACCAUGGGAGUGGGUUGCACCAGAAGUAGAUAGCUUAACCUUCGGGAGGGCGUUUACCACGGUGUGGUUCAUGACUGGGGUGAAGUCGUAACAAGGUAACCA